rnacentral:rRNA from 1 species
UUGAUCCUGGCUCAGGACGAACGCUGGCGGCGUGCCUAAUACAUGCAAAGUCGAACGAACUCUGGUAUUGAUUGGUGCUUGCAUCAUGAUUUACAUUUGAGUGAGUGGCGAACUGGGUUGAGUAACACUGGGAAACCUGCCCAGAAGCGGGGGAUAACACCUGGAAACAGAUGCUAAUACCGCAUAACAACUUGGACCGCAUGGUCCCGAGCUUGAAAGAUGGCUUCGGCUAUCACUUUUGGAUGGUCCCGCGGCGUAUUAGGCUAGAUGGUGGGGUAACGGCUCAACCAUGGCAAUGAUACGUAGCCGACCUGAGAGGGUAAUCGGGCCACAUUGGGACUGAGACACGGCCCAAACUCCUACGGGAGGCAGCAGUAGGGAAUCUUCCACAAUGGAGCGAAAGUCGAUGGAGCAACGCCGCGUGAGUGAAGAAGGUUUCGGCUCGUAAAACUCUGUUAGUUAAAGAAAGAACAUAUCUGAGAGGAACUGUUCAGGUAUUGACGGUAUUUAACCAGAAAGCCACGGCUAACUACGUGCCAGCAGCCGCGGUAAUACGUAGGUGGCAAGCGUUGUCCGGAUUUAUUGGGCGUAAAGCGAGCGCCUGGCGGUUUUUUAAGUCUUGAUGUGAAAGCCUUCGGCUCAACCGAAGGAAGUGCAUCGGAAACUGGGAGACUUGAGUGCAGAAGAGGACAGUGGAACUCCAUGUGUAGCGGUGAAAUGCGUAGAUAUAUGGAAGAACACCAGUGGCGAAGGCGGCUGCUCUGGUCUGUAACUGACGCUGAGGCUCGAAAGUAUGGGUACGCAAACAGGAUUAGAUACUCCUGGUAGUCCAUACCGUAAACGAUGAAUGCUAAGUGUUGGAGGGUUUCCGCCCUUCA